rnacentral:tRNA from 1 species
GGCUAGAUAACAUAACGGUAAUGUAAAAGACUGCAAAUCUUUUAAUAGUGGUUCAAUUCCACUUCUAGCUU